rnacentral:rRNA from 1 species
AUGCAGUUUCACAUAGCAAAUGAAGUCAUCCGUUUGCUUGAUCUAGCCCAGGAGAGCAGAAGACUGUCGGCAGCCGAGAUCAACCUCAGAAAGCAGCUGAAGCUCAAGGUCCUAGGGUUGGCAGCCAUUGAGAGAGCACGGAGGAGGCAAGCUUCAAGGAUCACAUGGCUGCGGGUUGGUGAUGCGAGCACUAAGUUUUUCCACGCUAAAAUGAGAGCAAGAAGCAGAAAAAACUACAUUCAUUCUCUUGCAAGCGGCAGCACAGUGGCUUACGAACAUGAGGAAAAAGAAAAAAUGAUUCAUGAUCACUUC